rnacentral:rRNA from 1 species
CGUGGGGAACCUGCCCCAUAGUCUGGGAUACCACUUGGAAACAGGUGCUAAUACCGGAUAAGAAAGCAGAUCGCAUGAUCAGCUUUUAAAAGGCGGCGUAAGCUGUCGCUAUGGGAUGGCCCCGCGGUGCAUUAGCUAGUUGGUAAGGUAAAGGCUUACCAAGGCGAUGAUGCAUAGCCGAGUUGAGAGACUGAUCGGCCACAUUGGGACUGAGACACGGCCCAAACUCCUACGGGAGGCAGCAGUA